AUAACGACUCUCGGCAACGGAUAUCUCGGCUCUCGCAUCGAUGAAGAACGCAGCAAAAUGCGAUACUUGGUGUGAAUUGCAGAAUCCCGUGAAUCAUCGAGUUUUUGAACGCAAGUUGCGCCCGAAGCCUUUCGGCCGAGGGCACGCCUGCCUGGGUGUCACGC
rnacentral:rRNA from 1 species